UACGUAGGGGGCUAGCGUUGUCCGGAAUCAUUGGGCGUAAAGCGCGCGUAGGCGGCCAGAUAAGUCCGGUGUGAAAGUCACAGGCUCAACCUGUGAAUGCCGCUGGAAACUGUCUGGCUGGAGUACGGUAGGGGCAGAGGGAAUUUCCGGUGGAGCGGUGAAAUGCGUAGAGAUACGGAAAGAACACCAACGGCGAAAGCACUCUGCUGGGCCGACACUGACACUGAGAGACGAAAGCUAGGGGGGCGAAUGGG
rnacentral:rRNA from 1 species